GUAUCACAUCUCUCCUCUCAAAGAGACAAUUGAAGCACAUAGGAGAUCUCUUGGGGAACAUGGUCCAGCUCAACAUCUGCAAAGGCCACCUCUAUUAGAAGUUCAAAACUUUGACACAGUUAAUCAGUCAUCAGCUUCCAAUAAGGUUAGUCAAGCAACUUUCCUUGGGAGAGAUGACCCAAAACUAACUGCCUUGUUGCAACAAGCUGAAUUGCUGACUACCCUUUCCAAGAAGGUUAAUGCAGAAAAUACCAACCAAAGUCUUGAUGAGGCUUGGAAGGUGCUAAUUUUGUCAGCGCAAAUGAUUUAUAUUCAAUUUGCUUGAAAUGUUAACCUAACUUCUAUUUCAUUGGUGUUGUGAAUCUUUGGAAACUUUGAACCAUUAGGAGCUUCAAGAGUACUUGAUUCAAACUGAAGACAGUG